rnacentral:rRNA from 1 species
AGGGAAUAUUGGACAAUGGGGGCAACCCUGAUCCAGCGAUGCCGCGUGAGUGAUGAAGGCCUUCGGGUCGUAAAGCUCUUUCACCUGUGAAGAUAAUGACGGUAGCAGGUAAAGAAGCACCGGCAAACUCUGUGCCAGCAGCCGCGGUAAGACAGAGGGUGCUAGCGUUGUUCGGAAUGACUGGGCGUAAAGGGCGCGUAGGUGGUCUGAAAAGUUAGGUGUGAAAGCCCCGGGCUUAACCUGGGAGGUGCACUUAAUACUUUCAGACUGGAGUGCGAGAGAGGAAAGCGGAAUUCCUAGUGUAGAGGUGAAAUUCGUAGAUAUUAGGAGGAACACCAGAGGCGAAGGCGGCUUUCUGGCUCGCAACUGACACUGAGGCGCGAAAGCGUGGGGAGCAAACA